UUAGGUUGAUGCAAAAUAAUUGUGGGUUUUGGAAUUACUUUUAAUGGCAAAAACUGUAAUUACCUUUGUACCAACCUA
rnacentral:miRNA from 1 species